rnacentral:rRNA from 1 species
GGCAUUGGGGGGCUAACACAUGCAGUCGAACGGUAACAGGAAGCAGCUUGCGGCUUCGCUGACGAGUGGCGGACGGGUGAGUAAUGUCUGGGAAACUGCCUGAUGGAGGGGGAUAACUACUGGAAACGGUAGCUAAUACCGCAUAACGUCGCAAGACCAAAGAGGGGGACCUUCGGGCCUCUUGCCAUCGGAUGUGCCCAGAUGGGAUUAGCUAGUAGGUGGGGUAACGGCUCACCUAGGCGACGAUCCCUAGCUGGUCUGAGAGGAUGACCAGCCACACUGGAACUGAGACACGGUCCAGACUCCUACGGGAGGCAGCAGUGGGGAAUAUUGCACAAUGGGCGCAAGCCUGAUGCAGCCAUGCCGCGUGUAUGAAGAAGGCCUUCGGGUUGUAAAGUACUUUCAGCGGGGAGGAAGGCGUUAAGGUUAAUAACCUUGGCAAUUGACGUUACCCGCAGAAGAAGCACCGGCUAACUCGGUGCCAGCAGCCGCGGUAAAUACGGAGGGUGCAAGCGUUAAUCGAAAUUACUGGCCGUAAGGCGCACGAGGCGGUCUGUCAAGUCGGAGGUAAAAUCCCGGGGCUCAACAGGGGAACUGGAGUCCGAAACGGGGGGUUU